GAAGUACUCCUUCCGUCCGAAAAUAUUUGUCUAGAAAAUGAUGAAAAAAGAUGUAUCUAGAACUAAGUUGCAUUUAAAUACAUUCAUUCCUCUAACAAGUAUUUUCGGACGGAGGGAGUAAUAA
rfam:Triticum aestivum genome assembly, contig: Triticum_aestivum_CS42_TGACv1_scaffold_129297_2BL